AACGGAUAAGGGCGCAUGGGGGAUGUCUUGGCAUCAGUAGACUUUGAAGGGCGUGGAAAACUGCGAAAAGCCUCGGUUAGCUGUUAAACGAGCGUUGACCCGGGGAUACCCGAACCGGCGUGACGUGAAUUCAUAGCGUUACGCGGACAACCUUGGGAACUGAAACAUCUAAGUACCAAGAGGAAGAGAAAGAAAAAUCGAUUCCGUGAGUAGCGGCGAGCGAAACCGGAAGAGCCCAAACCGGAACUUGUUCCGGGGUUAUAGGGUCAGAAGCAUAGGAGUGACAAAGGAGAAAUAUAGUGGAAACCGUCUGGAACGGCGGUGUCACAGAGGGUGAGAGCCCCGUACGCGAAAUAUUUCUUCCUCCUUUCUGAUACCUGAGUAGGUCGAGUCACGUGAAACCUUGACUGAAUUUGCGGGGUCCAUCCCGUAAGGCUAAAUACUCACUGAUGACCGAUAGCGCAUAGUAGAGCGAUUGAAAGAUGAAAAGAACCCCGUUUAGGGGAGGGAAAGAACCUGAAACCAUGUGCCUACAAGCGGUCGGAGCUCGAUUGAACGAGUGACGGCGUGCCUUUCGCAUAAUGAUCCGGCGAGUUACUGUAUGCAGCUUGAUUAAGAGCUUCCGGCUCGUAGUCGUAGGGAAACCGAGUCUUAACUGGGCGUAUGUUGCAUGUAGUAGACGCGAACCCCGUGUGAACUACCCAUGAGCAGGUUGAAGCCCGGGUUAUACCGGGUGGAGGACCGAACCCACUUGGGUUGAAAACCGAGGGGAUGACUUGUGGGGAGGAGUGAAAGUCUAAUCAAACCGGGAGAUAGCUCGUUCUCUCCGAAAUAGCUUUAGGGCUAGCCUUGAGCCACUAUGUUGCGGGGGUAGAGAGACUGAAUUGGCUGGAGGCCCUUCCCGGGGUACUCCACCGAACCAAACUCCGAAUACCGUAAUAAUUAUCUCAGGAGUCAGUCCGCGAGGGAUAAGCUUCGCGGACGAGAGGGAAACAACCCAGAUCACCGGCUAAGGUCCCGAAUAUCGUCUUAGUCACUAAGGAAGUCCUGUUGCACCAGACAGCCAGGAUGUUGGCUUAGAAGCAGCCAUCAUUUAAAAAGUGCGUAACAGCUUACUGGUCGAGCAAUAGGGCGCCGAUAAUGAACGGGAGUAAGUCGAUAACCGAAGCCGUGGAAUCGCAAGAUUGGUAGGAGAGCGUUGUAAGCCAGAUACGAGGUGUACCGUAAGGAGCAUUGGAGGGGCUUACAAGUGAUUAUGCCGGAAUGAGUAACGAUAAAACAGGUGAGAAUCCUGUUCGCCGCAAGCCUAAGGUUUCCUGGGGAAGGUAAUUCCGCUCAGGGUGAGCCGGUACCUUAGUCGAGGCCGCAGGGCGUAGACGAUGGACAUAAGGUUAAUAUUCCUUAGCUUGGCAAUGCUACUGAUGGAGGGACAGCGUUUUUAUGGUGAUCGGCCUGAUAGAAGUGGCCGUAGGUUUCUAAUGCAUGUCAUGUAGUUAAAUGCGCAUGAGUAAUUGUAUGGAGAUCUCGAGAACUAGAUUUUGAAGUCAUCGGCGAAGCGUUCGAGAAAAGCUUCUAAGGGUUACGCAUUGCUAAACCGUACUAAAACUGACACAGGUAGGCGGGUUGAGUAUACUAAGGCGCUCGGGAGAACACUGGUUAAGGAACUCUGCAAAAUGGCCCCGUAAGUUAGCGAUAAGGGGUGCCUCUGAUUUUGAAUAGGGAUUGGAGGUCACAGUAAAUCGGCAACAGCAACUGUUUAUCAAAAACACAGGACCGUGCGAACACGCAAGUGGAAGUAUACGGUCUGACGCCUGCCCGGUGCCGGUNNNNNNNNNNNNNNNNNNNNNNNNNNNNNNNCGGCGGCUCUAACCUUGAGAGUCCUAAGGUAGCGAAGUUCCUUGUCGGGCAAGUUCCGACCUGCAUGAAAGGCGUAAUGACUGUUGCACUGUCUCAACCAGUGACCCGGUGAAAUUGUAGUCGUGGUGAAGAUGCCACGUACCCGCAGUAAGACGGAAAGACCCCGUGAACCUUUACUGUAGGCUGAGAUUGGUCUGAGGUUUGUUUUGUGUAGGAUAGGUGGGAGGCAAUGAACUGGGAGCGUCAGCUUUCAGGGAGCCAGCGUUGAAAUACCACCCUGGACACACUUUAGUUCUAACGGUGAUUCCCUUGAAUCAGGGCACCGGACACUCUCAGUUGGGCAGUUUGACUGGGGCGGUCUCCUCCGAAAGAGUAACGGAGGAGUACAAAGGUACCCUCAGCCUGUUUGGCAAUCAGGCGUCGAGCGUAACGGUAGAAGGGUGCUUGACUGCGAGACAGAUAAGUCGAGCAGAGACGAAAGUCGGUCGUAGUGAUCCGGUGGUUCCGAAUGGCAGGGCCAUCGCUCAUCAGAUAAAAGGUACUCCGGGGAUAACAGGCUUAUCGCUCCCGAGCGUCCACAGCGGCG
rnacentral:rRNA from 1 species